GAGGUCUCUGCGGAACAAAAAGAGGCUUUUCCCAAUUUUUGGGCGUCUUCAAACUGAAAUAGGUGUUUCUCCAUCUCGUUCUCUGAUUUGCUCAAAUUGAGUGGGCGAUUCCCAAAUGCAUUUUUCCCAUCAACCCAAGUAUAGCAAGUGAUGCGGAAAUUAAGCACAAGCACCGUCUGCCACUGAGAGAUCGCCUACAUAUGAAUCACAUAACAGUUCAGCGGAGAGGUAAAGAUCCUCAACCACAGCGCUGCCGUGAAGAUGUUAAUUUAUUCACAUGCCCUUUCUGCUCAUGUGACACAUACAAGCCAUGCCAGUAUCAUCAAAUAAUGACCCAUAUAGCUGGACAUAAACUAAGAUCUGUUGAACAUGGAGAUUAUGUUAUAUACAGCUGUGGCCUUGGCUGUGGUCAAAAGGCCAAACAUUUUCACUGCUGUCAGUGUCCACAGACCUACAUAAAUAAAGGUGCCUUAAAAGAGCAUCUUUGCAAAAAAAAACCCUGUAUCUGCUUUUACUGCUGAUCUACAACCAGUCGCUCGUCCAGCACAAGAAACAUCUUUACAGCAACCAGUCGCUCGUCCAGCACAAGAAACAUCU